rnacentral:tRNA from 1 species
GGUUGUGGCUCAGUGGUAGAGCACUUGCCUGAAUGUGUAAGGCAAUGGGUUCGAUCCUCAGCACCA